UUUGAAGAAGUGAAAACACACUCUCAAAAAUUAAAAUGUCUACCUACCCACUCUGGACAUUUCUCUUUCCCUCUCUUCUAGAUCUAGCCAGUUCUCUCUCUCUCUCUCAGAUUUCUUUCAACUGAGCUGUAGAUGAAAGUCAAUUGGCUUCAAUUGAGAGUUAAACUUUCACAGAUCAAUGGAAAUAGGGACUCCUUGAACCGAUUCGAGCUUCAAACAAAACUAGGGUUUCAUGUUUGAAUUGGGGGUGUUUGGUUUUUGGUUCUGUUUUUGUGAGACUCUCUCUGUUUUGGUACUAAUUUUGUUUUAUCUCUUUGUUCCAGUGCUAAUUUGGGGUUGAAUAAGUUGGGACUUAGCUUAAGCUUCUACUUCAAGGUACUACUUUUAUUCAAUUCUUGUGUAUAUAUUUAUGAUUGGUGUGUAUAUGUUUUAUGAUUAUGUGUAUGAGUGGUGCGUAUCUCUGGUUUUAUUUUUAAUUGAAUGCCUCUGUUUUUGUUAUAUUAUGUCUCUGUUCACUCUAUAAUUUUCACACUCUCUCCCUGCCCCGUCUCUCUCUUUCUCUCCAUUUUUGGGGGUUUUACAUUUUGUUUUCCUUAUUUGUUUGAUUGUGAAUUUAAGCAGUUGAAAUUUGGGGAUUAUGUACACCAGUUAUUUAUUUUAGAUAGGCUUUAUAUUAGUGUCUGAGAGCGGAUGGAAAUCAGUUAUGAAUCUAACUUUUUGUUUUUCAUUAUUAUCUUUGACUGAUUGUCACUGUUAUGAUUUCUCUUUGUUGUGAUUUGUGUUCUAUGUAUGUCCAUGAGCGAAAAGCUAGCAUAAGAGAUUUUUAUGGUUAGUAAGCCUUGGAAAAUGAUAUUAGAAUUUUUUUUUUUGAUCAGUAAGAAUGUGUUAGGCUGCUAAGACAAGCAAAAGAAGAACAAGAGCAGAGAAUCCAUGAAGCUUUAACAGGAAAAUUUAAUGAAUGGGAAAACCACAAUAUAUAAGCUUGAAAGUGAGCUUCUAGAGCUCCAAAACCAGGUCUAGGAAGUUAAAGAUAAUGAUCCUAUUUGUAUUAAUCCUGGUGUUCAUCUGAAGCUGGUGUUUUUAUUAUUUGGUGCAGGUUUGCCUGCACUUUUUCUUCUCAUAUGUCUUGCUAUCUACACAGGAAAAAAAAUCAGUGACUAUCUCAUAUUUUCUACAGCCUUUCGUUGUUUUCAUGUUCUCUUUCUUGGUUAAUGCGAAUUAGCACAUGAAAUUUAUUUUGCAGAGGAUGAUGACAGAAGACCAAAGUACCUGGGCUUUUUUAAAUAUUUGUUCCAAAUAUAUUGAUUGUGAUAUUAAUUAAGUAUUUACCUAUUGCUUUUGUUUCUCCAUCCAGCAAAAUAUACAAAGUUUGUUUGAUGUUGUUGUCCAUGGUGUUAAUGAAGAUUAUGUGGAAAUGGCUCAAGGAUUUCACCAGGCUUGAGUUUCUUGCUAGUGGAACAGAUGACUCCUAUUGUCACAGCCUUGGAAUCACAUAUCCUGCACUUCAUUUAUGUAUGGAGAAGGGUGUAUUUUAGAGAAAAGGCUAGAGAGCACAGGCUAAUUGUUGUUACUUUUAGUUGGUUUUGAAUUGUUAGGUAAUUUGAUUUGGUUGGAUUUGUUAUGAAAUUUGUAAGAAAGAAUAGUUUAUUGGGA
rnacentral:lncRNA from 1 species